CCCUUACCCCUACCAGCCACCACACAUUAACCCUAUCCCCACCCACGCGUUGUUUCCGGCGACGGCGCCGCCGUUCUCUUGCUCUCUUCUUCACGCACCGCCGUCCGCUCCGCGGCCGUUCCAUCUCCUGCUCACCUGCCUCACCUUAUCCCCUCCUCCUCCCACUCUCUCUUCCUUUAUGCGCUCCCGUGCUCCUAGUGCCUCCUUCGGGGUCCCGCAGCCAGAUGCGGCCGCCUAGGGUUCGCUGCGGCCGGAGAUGGCUACCAUGGAGGUCGCCCCCGUCAGAUCUAGCGGCCCAGUCCUCUACCAGGUGCCGUAGUCAAGGAGGACAGAGCGCCAUCACCAGGCUGGUGCAGGGUGAGCUCUGGCCCUCCUACCGACCGGUGUGUACCUUGCUCUUGGGGUAGCACCGAGCGACGGCGGCGACUACAAGAUGCAGCAGAAGCGGCGGAUGGCCAAGAAUCUAGGCCUCCGACCAUUGGCGGUUGUUGUUGUGGCAGAAGAGUCGGUACAGUGUUCGCGCCUCCGCCCUGUUCAGCCUUGCCUCCAUCAACUUUGGAACUCCCGGUAAGCAUAUUCAUAAUCCUGUCUUCAUCGUGAUUGUGUAAAAAGCUGGAUAUGGAUGAAGACGAAGACCAAGGGCAGAUUUCGUAUAUCUGUUAGCUUUACAUCUGUUUUCUGUAGUUUAUUUUUGCCACGUGAAGCAGGAUGAGUUUAGAUUUGUUCAUGAAAUUGGUUGUAAUAGAGAUAGGACUGUAAUGCCCAGAUGCAUUUUCAAGUGGAUACCUAUUGCCUAAACUACAAGAACACUAAGAGAAGGUCAUUGAAUCCAAUUUUAUUUUAAAUUAAGCGGGCAAGUGGCGGGAAUCGAACCCGUAGUGCUAGCAGUUUUUUUUGUUUUGUUUUGUUUUGCAGCACUUGCUUUAAUUGAAGGUUUGCAUCAUAAAUAGGACAAGAGAGAUCCAUGAUCACAUUUGCGAUGUCUGAAGCCUAAAGCUAACACUAAACGAACCGGUUCAAGUUCCAGCAGGAAUAAGUAUAAUUUUUGCAUGAUUAUGUUUUACUAGACCUAAUAGUGUAAUUUGUUUCAACUGUUUAGUCUUCAGGCUGUACAUUAGGCCAACAGGCCAAUACUGUUUUUUAUAGUUAGGGUUGUUAUUAUAUGGAAAACACAUACUGGUUCGGUGCUACAGUUUGUCCAUUUCAGGUCAACAAUUUCUAAGCUUCCACAUUUUACGUGACUCCAUUUUUAUGCAGGUGAUGAGCUGGAGCUCCCAAAUAGACACCGUGCUUCAUAAUCAGCUCCAAAUUCUCAAUCCUGUAGCACUAACAUUAUUUGGUAAAACAAUGGAAAUACGUUUCACAAAAAUAGCGGUACAUGAUAAAAACCAUAUCCAUAUGAUGAUACAAAAAGCGGCACCUAAAUCAAGUGCAUACCAUUCUUAAUCCUGUCUCCAGGUACUUUAAUUUCCAAGAAAGUCUGGCCCUCAACAACCUUAUUAUCUUAGUGAUUCCUGAUCUUCCAUCAAAGAAUAUCAAUUCAUUGCAAAUACAACACCAUUAUUAUCGAUUUCUUUUCAUUGCUAUCAAGUACUACCUCCGUACCAAAAUAUAAGAUGUUUUUGUAGGCUAAACUAGCCUACAAAAAUGUCUUAUAUUUUGAUAUGGAGGUAAUAACUUUUUGACCAUAAUCCAAAUCGAAACCAUCAAAAUCGUUUGAUUUAUAGGGUUCUUCCUCCUGGCAGCGGCGCAAUUUGUUGGCUCGCUCAUCAGCUGUGAUACCCCAUGUCCCCUGUCCGCACCUGCUGAUAAAAAGUGGAUGGGGGGCUUCCAUGCUACAUCCAUGGCUACUGCUGGAAAUUGAUUGACGAUCUUCAUGUCCCAAAAUGCUAGUUUUAUAGAUUUGGCAAGUGUAUUCUUCAUUUUAUGUUGUUGUGUGUGUGCACAGUGCACAUGUGAAUUUUCCAUGCAUUCAAUUUCAUAAAUUAAUUGAGCAUUCUAAAAGUUGGGACUUGUUUAACUUUUGUAGGAAGCAAAUAUAAGGACUGGACUCACAAUGAACCAUGAAGCCAGCAGUCCACGUCAACUAGAUGUCUGAGCUUUCAUUUUGUACAACUGAUUGCUCGUACUUGCAUCUUUUAUCUGUCCUUCUGUGAACCUGAUGUAUGGUGGCUUGGUGGUUAUGUUUAGAACAGACUGAAGUGUAUGUAUGUGAUGAUUAGUUAAUGAAAUAAAAAAUGUUUGGUGCACCUGAAAUAUGGUGUCUUGGUGAUUA